rnacentral:rRNA from 1 species
AUCCUGCCAGUAGUCAUAUGCUUGUCUCAAAGAUUAAGCCAUGCAUGUCUAAGUAUAAGCGACUAUACUGUGAAACUGCGAAUGGCUCAUUAAAUCAGUUAUGGUUUAUUUGAUGGUACCUUGCUACUUGGAUAACCGUAGUAAUUCUAGAGCUAAUACAUGCAGGAGUUCCCGACUCACGGAGGGAUGUAUUUAUUAGAUAAGAAACCAAACCGGUCUCCGGUUGCGUGCUGAGUCAUAAUAACUGCUCGAAUCGCACGGCUCUACGCCGGCGAUGGUUCAUUCAAAUUUCUGCCCUAUCAGCUUUCGAUGGUAGGAUCGAGGCCUACCAUGGCGUUUACGGGUAACGGAGAAUUAGGGUUCGAUUCCGGAGAGGGAGCCUGAGAAAUGGCUACCACAUCCAAGGAAGGCAGCAGGCGCGUAAAUUGCCCGAAUCCUGACACAGGGAGGUAGUGACAAGAAAUAACAAUACAGGGCUAUUUUAGUCUUGUAAUUGGAAUGAGUACAAUUUACAUCUCUUCACGAGGAUCAAUUGGAGGGCAAGUCUGGUGCCAGCAGCCGCGGUAAUUCCAGCUCCAAUAGCGUAUAUUAAAGUUGUUGCAGUUAAAACGCUCGUAGUCGGAUUUCGGGGCGGGCCGACCGGUCUGCCGAUGGGUAUGCACUGGCCGGCGCGUCCUUCCACCCGGAGACCGCGCCUACUCUUAACUGAGCGGGCGCGGGAGACGGGUCUUUUACUUUGAAAAAAUCAGAGUGUUUCAAGCAGGCAGUCGCUCUUGCAUGGAUUAGCAUGGGAUAAUGAAAUAGGACUCUGGUGCUAUUUUGUUGGUUUCGAACACCGGAGUAAUGAUUAACAGGGACAGUCAGGGGCACUCGUAUUCCGCCGAGAGAGGUGAAAUUCUCAGACCAGCGGAAGACGAACCACUGCGAAAGCAUUUGCCAGGGAUGUUUUCACUGAUCAAGAACGAAAGUUAGGGGAUCGAAGACGAUCAGAUACCGUCGUAGUCUUAACCAUAAACCAUGCCGACUAGGGAUUGGGCGUGGUUUGUUCAUUGACCCGCUCAGCACCUUACGAGAAAUCAAAGUCUUUGGGUUCCGGGGGGAGUAUGGUCGCAAGGCUGAAACUUA